rnacentral:rRNA from 1 species
UACGGAAGGUCCGGGCGUUAUCCGGAUUUAUUGGGUUUAAAGGGAGCGCAGGCGGCCUUCUAAGCGUGACGUGAAAUGUGGCGGCUCAACCGCCGAACUGCGUCGCGAACUGGCUGGCUUGAGUGGGGACGAGGCACGCGGAAUUCGUGGUGUAGCGGUGAAAUGCUUAGAUAUCACGAAGAACCCCGAUUGCGAAGGCAGCGUGCCAGGCCCUUACUGACGCUAAUGCUCGAAGGUGCGGGUAUCGAAC